rnacentral:rRNA from 1 species
UACGGAGGGUGCAAGCGUUGUCCGGAAUCACUGGGCGUAAAGGGCGCGUAGGCGGCCUGGUAAGUAGGGGGUGAAAUCCUGCGGCUUAACCGCAGGGCUGCCUUCUAAACUGUCAGGCUUGAGCACGGUAGAGGCAGAUGGAAUUCCCGGUGUAGCGGUGGAAUGCGUAGAGAUCGGAAAGAACACCAACGGCGAAAGCACUCUGCUGGGCCGACACUGACACUGAGAGACGAAAGCUAGGGGAGCGAACGGG